rnacentral:rRNA from 1 species
UACGUAGGGGGCAAGCGUUGUCCGGAAUCAUUGGGCGUAAAGAGCGCGUAGGCGGUCCGGUAAGUCGGUUGUGAAAACUGGGGGCUCAACCCUCAGAGGCCGACCGAUACUGUCGGGCUAGAGUCCGGAAGAGGCGAGUGGAAUUCCUGGUGUAGCGGUGAAAUGCGCAGAUAUCAGGAGGAACACCGGUGGCGAAGGCGGAUCUCUGGGCCGAUACUGACGCUGAGGAGCGAAAGCGUGGGGAGCGAACAGG